AAAUCUGUGAUGAGAAUAAUACUGCAACAAUAUGAAUGGAGAUACGCUAUCUCCACCUUCCAUGUUUACUUGUAUUUAAGUCUCUGAUGAUUUGCUUCAAUUCUUCAUUCCCCUCUUUGGGUUUUUUUUUCUCUCAAAAUUAUUUGUAGGCGUGAUGAGCAACUUAUUGGUCCGUGUUUCUGAAUUUACCGUGACCGACAAACCUUAACCAACUCUGAUCUCUUAUGUUUUACUUCUUCUUUGCCGAUUUUGAUCUGUACUGUGUAAAAGUUUGUUUCUUUUGAUCUUUUACUAUGAAAGAUUGGUUCUUUUUUUUUUUAAAUUACUCGUGGGCGUGAUGAGGAACUUAUUGGUCCGUGUUUCUGAAUUUACAUUGACGAAAAACCUUAACCAACUCUGAUCUCACGAUUAGGAAAGUUUUUACCUUUUUUUGUUGUUGUUUCGUAGAUUUGAACUUUGUGUUUUACUGUGGUUGUUGCUCUGUGAUUUUUGCCUUGAUAGGCAUAUACGCUAUUCUGAUUCAUAUCAUGAAUGGAUAAGUUUUGAAAGCUGAGAGCUUCCUACUGCUAAUUAUGUUUUGUGUAUUGUUCUGCGGUGAUGAAUUAUGGAUUAAAUUCACAUGUCAGACUUCAGAGAUUGUAAAAAAUCAAUGAGAAUGAAACUUCCUAGCGUCUGAGCAGAUU
rnacentral:lncRNA from 1 species